UAGGGCUCGACCCCGGAGAAGGAGCCUGAGAAACGGCUACUACAUCCAAGGAAGGCAGCAGGCGCGCAAAUUACCCAAUCCCGACACGGGGAGGUAGUGACAAUAAAUACUGAUACAGGGCUCUUUUGGGUCUUGUAAUUGGAAUGAGUACAAUUUAAAUCCCUUAACGAGGAACAAUUGGAGGGCAAGUCUGGUGCCAGCAGCCGCGGUAAUUCCAGCUCCAAUAGCGUAUAUUAAAGUUGUUGUGGUUAAAAAGCUCGUAGUUGA
rfam:Fusarium oxysporum f. sp. cubense race 4 unplaced genomic scaffold C41503, whole genome shotgun sequence.